AUGCACGGGUUUGGAACCGGCCGUAACUCCAAAGGCCUACAAAAAAAUAGCUGCCCAGGCCCUGCGGACGGGGUGCGUACCGCGCACGCGCUAGCGAAGCCCGGCGCAAGGUCAUGAGAAACCCGGAACUCCGCAGUUGUGUAUACAGGCCAGGUCACAGGAGAGGGCUAUUGAGGUACUAAAGACCCGUUAACAAGCCUUCUUUCACACAGACGCGCAUAAUCAACCUGAAGCCCACUCUUAGAACCUUCCAGAAUGCCAGGCACAGCCAUAGGAGAUUCUUCCAUCAGCCAGGAGUUGUUGCUGAAAGGGAGGCUGUUUUUACACAGGUCCCCACCCUGUGAACAUCUCCUCUGCAUCAGACUUUCUCACUUCCAGCUGUCCUGGUCAAGGCCAGGAGACAUCGCGUCAAGUGGAGAGUGUUAACUAUACAGGCUGCUGUCACUUGGAGACCAUCCAGCUACACACCCCGUCCUGUGCACAGCGGCAGCUAUUUAGGGGAAAGAGCCUCCUGAACAACUGAAGAGUGCUCCCAGGAGACAGAAGUCCGCAGCCCGAGGGAGACUCUGCUGUCCUCUCCACCGCUAUCCCAGCGCUGGGAGCUGGGAAGGGGGAAUGGCAGCAGCUUUUGGAAGACUUGAAGGAGAAGCAGCAGGAGAUCUUGAAUUUCCAGGAGGAGCAGCUAUAUCCCUCUGGGAGAUAGACUCCAGCUCCCCUGGUUAUACCGUCUGAGAUCUCCAGCCUCACCGAGACAAUGGUUGAAAGAAAAACGGCCACGCAUGUGAUGACGUUAUGGAAAUACAAACCUCUAAACCAAGAUGAUGCCCUUUGACCCAAAAUAGGGGGGUCCGAACAUCAAAGGGGGCAAUGUGGUAGAGUCCCCUCCCUAAGGAAUGUGGUGAGAAAGGACCUCAAGAUAAAGGAAGGCAACCGGCUGUGUGCCUAUGUGACAUUCCUCAUGACACUGUGACAUGAGACCGCUCAAUCAGACUGUAUGUCUGUAGGUAAGUCUAUACGUUACCCAUAUAUGGGAGACAAAGAAGUAGGAAAUGCAUAAAAGGAUACACCACACGGCUCAUUUUUGGGGCACAAACUCUCCGAGCCCGUGCCCGCAGGAAUAAAGUUGCUUCCUGGAAAGAAAAGCCUCAGUGCCACGACUCUGCGAGAACCCUGCUACAUUCCCUGAUGCGAUGUGGGCCGGGAGCGAAUGGUCAAGAAAGAAUUCUUGAAACAUUUUUGGUGUAAAAAAAAAGGUGGUUUUAUUGUAGCACAGCGACAGGACUCUUGGGCAGGAAGAGCUGCCCCGGGAUUGUCAGGAGUGAUCAGUUACACACUUUUAAGUUGGGGUGACGGUGUAGAGACAAAGGAAGUUUCCAAAAGGAUUUUCAUAUGUUAAGGAGACUUCCGGGAUCCUGGAGGCCUGGCUAUUAUCAAGCUAAGGCUGUUUUUUCCCUCUAGCAAGGCAUUAACAUCAAGACAGUUAAGAGUUCCUGGAGGAAUGUCAUGAUCUGCCUGUUUCAAGUAUUUGUCGAUGGGCUGCAAGUUACACGGAAAUUUAAUUCUGUCCACAUUUCCUUUUGCCUUUGUUCUCCGCAUCAUUUCCCCCUGAACAGUUUUGACCUUUAAGUCUGUAAGGUUGCUGAGAGUGGAAGGUCUUACCUUCUGUAACUUCUUCCUGCUGAAUGGGGAACAGAGAUAGGACCUAUGGGCCAACAUUGGUCAGUUGGGGAAGAUGUAUCUGCUGAAUCCAAGGUAGAAACAUAAACGAAUUUCCUUGAGUAGAAAGGGUCAUCUGAAGGCUGGAAGUUAUGGCAUGAAGGAGUCUUGGCAACAGGCAGGAAGACGCUGGAAAAGACGACAAAAUGAGGUUAAUAUUAUUAUGAGAAUAAAGCCCAAUAAAAAAGACUUUUGAUAGUUGACCACAAUUUUCCUCCAGUUCUUCAUUGUUGUUUGGAGAGAGGUUUGAGGCCUUCCACGGGUUUACAGGAAUAAGAAGGUGUGUUAGCUGGUAUUGUGGAUUCCCGCGAGGAAGGCAAGAGGUUUAAUUUCUUGAUCGGAGUCCACGAGGAAUGUCCUUCUAAUUUUAUGGCUGUGGGAGUACAUCAUGUGACCUGGUACAGGCCCUUCCCUUUUGUAGUUAAAUUCCUUGCUGUGUUAGCCUUCUAAUCCUUUAAAUAAACCAUGUCCACUGGGUUUAUACGUGGUGGGUUGCUAGUAACUGUCAGAUCAGUAGUAGGGAGGAUACGACCUGUGUAUUUAGAGAUUUAGAAAUAUUCACUCCACCUUACGGGCAGACUUAUUUGCUGGGAGCGCUUUGGCCUCAAUAAUCUGAAUUAGACUGACUGUUGUACGCCUGGCUCUUCUUAUCUCCUUUUCCAUGAAACUACUGCCAUCAGUAAGCCAACCGUCAGCUGCAUUAUCAAUAGGAGAAUCUUUUAUGUCUGAGCUGCUGGAAUAAACGAGAUCAAUAGCCCCUGUUCUGUAGGACAUCCUGAGGUUCCCGCACCUGCCGGGAAGUGACAGUAUUUACUCGCCUGGUAAGGCUGCCGGGGACCCUGUAAGCAAGGUUACAGGUCAGCAUUUCCAAGGGACUCUAUUGGCUGCAUGCUUUGUAAAGUCAAUCUCAGCUCUCAAAAGCUGUCUGCUCAUACCUGAGUCUAUGCAGGUCUCUCAAGUAUGACGUUCCAGGGGCAUCUGGGUGGCUCAGUCAGUUAAGCGUCAGACUCUUGGUUUCAGCUCAGGUCAUGAUCUCAUGGUUCAUGGUUCGAGCCCCGCACCAGGCUCCAUGCUGACAGUGCAGAACCUGCUUAGGCUUCUCUCUCUCUCCCUCUCUUUCUGCCUCUCCCCCGCUUGUGCUCACUCACUCUCUAAACAAACAAACAAACAAAAAACAAACUUAAGAAAAUGACAUUACAGUCAAAAGCCUUGAUAAAAUAGCCAAUGUUUUUGAUGGUGUCCUAUUACAAGGAGAACAGAUUUUUAUUAAACUUAUGCAAAUGCUGUAAUUGUCAUGGAAGAAAGAAUAUUCACUGAGGGGUUUUGGAUUCUGGAGGGUUCAGGUAGAGAGAAAAUUUAAAUGCUUCGAUUUGUUCACAAGGGAAUAGUUUGUCAUAUUUCUGUGAGUCAUAGAUUAUCUUAAGAGAAAGUUUCCUUAAUCUGGAAGAGCAAACAUGAGAGAACCAGAAAUGUUUCAAACGGGAGUCACAAAAAUUAUAAUCCUCUUCCUCAAUUCAUUUAGUCCCAUGUUAAUAAUUCUUGUUCAGUUUGAAUGCAGCCUUUUAGUCCUGGAAAUUCUUACCCAGUUCAGUUUUAGAAUUUUAAAGAUGACAAAAACCUGCAUUUGCCAAAAGCCCUUUUUAUGAAUCCCCUUGAAGAUGAAACAUGUUUUGCAAGAAGAUAAGUAUCAUAACUUUAGUACCAAUAAACUAAAAAAAGGACACAGAGAUCUGGGGAGAGUUCAUUAUAAUAUAGCUGACAAAGAAAUCUGGUUAUUUCUGUGACACAUAACACUUGGAUAAUCAGAAUAUCAAGUAAUGGCCUUAUACCAAAACGUAUUAAAACUUUAGGAAUUCAUAUGAUCUCUAGACUAGUUAUAGUAUUUACCCGAACAACAUAACCCAAGGCUUAUUCUUUAACAGUGUUAAGUUUAACAUUCCAAAUAAAGCCUAGUUAAAAAGACUUUAUGUACAGUUUAAAUCCUGGGGAAUUUGUUAAAAACCUCAGAAAGUUAUGGGGCGCCUGGGUGGC